GCAGGGCCGCAGCGGCAGCCGGUGGCAGGUGGGGUUGUAGCUGUGCGGGCGGGGCCGCAACAAGCGGGGCUGGAGCGGUGGUAGGCAGUGCAGCAGCUGGCGGCGCAAUGGCCGGUGGCGAACAGGGCCGCAGAGGUGGCAGGUGACACCGCAACCGGUGACAGGAGAUGCCGCUGCGGUACAGGGCAGCGCAGCGAGCAGGGCCGCAGCAACGUUCGGUGGUGGGUGGGGUUGCAGCUGGUAUUUUUUAAAUGGGCAUCACUGCCGGGUUCAUGAUCCGGCGGUGAUUGGUCCCUUCACCGCCGGCUUAUAUCCAACGACCACGAAAAUUACUGGUGCGGGGUCGUGCAGUAGUGCGUCAACUUUUGAGUAAGAAUGAUUUCUGCAUGUACGAAUUGGGGUGGACAUAUGAAAAACCAUCUAGGUGGGGACCAUAAGUUUGUGUGGCCGUAUAGAAUAAAAGAUAAUUGGUCAAUUACAGGAGGGGUAUAGAUACAUGACGGAGCCAAGGAAACUUCCUCAGACUGAGCUUAAACUGAAAGGGGGAGCUGAAGAGAAUAUUUGAGGUAGGAUGUGAGAACAAAUAAUCAAGUAAACGUACGUAGGAGUAUGAGGUGUUAGAAAUCCAAAACAUGUCCAAAGUUGGUAGCUGUAAAGACGGAAGUGAACGCAAAGAGGCUAUCCACAAUGAGCAUGUGUACCAGCAGCAUCAAUCUGCCUGCAACUGUCUUGUACGUUGGAAAAAAUAAUAUGGAAUAUGCAUAGCUUGAGCACCACCUAUAUAUAAAUAUAGAUUCUGUGGGGUUUUUUUUAUCAUUCUUUAGCUACGUAGUAGAAUGUAAUCAGUUGGUCAUCCGACACCUUAAGAAAAUAUCAGCAAACAGCUGAGCACCCACUAACAUAAUAAAAGCUGGCCCUUUGAUCUGACAAAUAGAAAAAAAAAGACCUUUCAGCUUUCCACAUACCUAAAAUCCACUACAAGAAGACGGGAUAUUAACGACGGGACGGGAUAUGUGAUCGUUAAAAGUUAUUAACGAUCAUUAAUGACCACAUACAAUUUCCGGUCGUUUACUUUUCAACGACCGGCCAAGGCCAAUAUGUGGUCAUUAUUACUAGCUUAUUAACAACCACAUUUUUAAGUAAUAACGACCGCAUUUGUUUCAGUAAUAUUAUAACAAUACCUAGUAUGAGAUACUAACGACCAAAAUUUUAGUAAUAACAACCACAUUUGUUGUCGUUAAUAAUAUUUCACUACACACUAUGGAGCAUUAACAACCAG
rnacentral:lncRNA from 1 species